UCUGCAACCCGACUUCGUGAAGCUGGAUCCGCUAGUAAUCGCGCAUCAGCCACGGCGCGGUGAAUACGUUCCCGGGCCUUGUACACACCGCCCGUCAAGCCAUGGGAGCCGGGGUACCUGAAGUACGUAACCGCAAGGAGCGUCCUAGGGUAAAACUGGUGACUGGGGCUAAGUCGUAACAAGGUAUC
rnacentral:rRNA from 1 species